GAUGAACGCUGGCGGCGUGCCUAAUACAUGCAAGUCGAGCGAACAGACGAGGAGCUUGCUCCUCUGACGUUAGCGGCGGACGGGUGAGUAACACGUGGAUAACCUACCUAUAAGACUGGGAUAACUUCGGGAAACCGGAGCUAAUACCGGAUAAUAUAUUGAACCGCAUGGUUCAAUAGUGAAAGACGGUUUUGCUGUCACUUAUAGAUGGUUCCGCGCCGCAUUAGCUAGUUGGUAAGGUAACGGCUUACCAAGGCAACGAUGCGUAGCCGACCUGAGAGGGUGAUCGGCCACACUGGAACGGAGACACGGUCCAGACUCCUACGGGAGGCAGCAGUAGGGAAUCUUCCGCAAUGGGCGAAAGCUUGACGGAGCAACGCCGCGUGAGUGAUGAAGGUCUUCGGAUCGUAAAACUCUGUUAUUAGGGAAGAACAAAUGUGUAAGUAACUAUGCACGUCUUGACGGUACCUAAUCAGAAAGCCACGGCUAACUACGUG
rnacentral:rRNA from 1 species